GUGACUGAGAAACCAACAUACAAACUUUGAAAAAUACAAGGGGGGCACAAAGGUAUGGGCCCAGAGACUGCAGACAACAGGUCAGAAAACCACAGCAUUCUAAGAUUCUCUCUGACUGAAGGUGGGGAUAAAACAGAUUUUCAAGAAGAAAAUGAAGCAUACAGUUUGAAAAAUACAGAUCAAAUAACAUACUUUUUCACCUUUGGAAAACAACUUCAUGUUUUCACAAUACAAACUAUUGAAAGUAAGUAGAGUUCAAUAAACAUCUCUUGAUUGUUGGAGAAUGGUCAGAAGAAAUAUCUUCUGUAUAUUUGUGCUUCCUAGAAAGAGUCUGAUGAAGUCUCCUGGGACCUGCUAGAAAGCAGGAUCAAUUAAAUGUUUAGGUUUAGCAUAAACAGGCACAGGAGGUCUUUGUCUUCUGGGACCAGGGAGCCCCUCUCACUUUCGGGGCCAGUUGGGUGACCCGCAGCACCUGAACUCCUAGGUAGAAACCUAAAGAGAAAUCCAUGGCAGUGCCUGAGUAGAAUUUCCUCUUUCUAGAAUUGAGGGUGCAGAACAGCAGCAGGCAAAUGACAGAGGAGAGAGAAGGCAAAACAAAAAAUUCAGCAGCGCAAGAGAACUGGGCUUUCU
rnacentral:lncRNA from 1 species